AUACUUACCUAGGAGGGGAGAAACCAUGAUGAAGAGGGUGGUUCACGCAGGGUGAGGUUCACCCAGGUUGAGUCUCUGGGGUGCUGACCCCUGUGAAUUCCCUAAAUGUGGGAAUGUUGAGUGCAUAAAUUCUGGUAGUGGAGCAUUUUUCCCU
ensembl:snRNA U1 U1 spliceosomal RNA